GCCGACGUAGCUCAAUUGGUAGAGCUCCGGUCUCCAAAAACCGGACGGUCUAGGUUCGAGUCCUAGCGGCGGUGC
rnacentral:tRNA from 1 species